GGGGUUUCUGUGGCCACCACAGCCACUCUGGCCACCGUGGCCACUGCAGCUCCCGAGGCCACAGAGGCCACCACGACCACUGUGACCCCUCUGACCGCUGUGGCCACCCUGGGCAUUGGGACCACUGGGGUCACCAUCACUGUCCCCAUGGUCACCAUGGCCAUUGUGGCCACCGUGACCUGUGAGGCCACCGUGGUCACUGAACCUGCUGAGGUCACCAUGGUCACUGUGGUCAUUGUGGUCAUUGAGGGCACCGUGGCCAGCACAGCCCCUGUGGCCCCCGUGGUCACCACAAGUCCCCGUUCCACCCCCAAGGACCAGGAGCCCAGUUCCGCCCGGCUCCGGAGCUGGGGGAAGGACCAAGAGCCCCAAACCUGGCCGGGGGUGAAGUUAAACCAAACCAGGUGGAACCUCAGGCUCCGAAGCCAGAAGGAGAUUUUAUAAUAUUUUAUAACAUUUUAUCACAUUUUAUCAUAUUUUACCAUAUUUUAUCAUAAUUACAAAAGGGGAAAUCUUGAAGAGGCCUGGAGGGCCAGCGCUGCCUCACGGAGGGCAACGGGGCUGAGUGGCCUUGGGGACAAGGGGUGAAACAGAGAAAUUAAGAAUUAGGAAGAAAUGCUCGACUAAAAGGGGAGUUUGACAAAAAACAGACCCUGAUACCGUAAUCCACCAGAACAGGAAAAAGGGUCGGACUGCAAGAUGAGAUAAGGAGCUGGAAUACACAAACAAAAUGCAAAGACAAAGGCACCACAGGAUAAAGGAAAUUCCAGAUUUGAGGUCACAAAAAGCGGCCGAAGGACUGCAAGGGACACGGAGCUAAUUGUGAUAUGCAGUGAGGACAGACGGAGUUAGGAAAUUAAUAUGUAUUAGGUGAAAACCUGGUCUGUAAAGGAUAAAAAGGGAAACCCAAUCAAGAAGGUGUGCAUGGUUUUUGGAGGAGAUAUCCCCGUGCACGUCAGCGUUGAAUAAACUCAUACCUGCUCUUAUAACUGCUCUGCGA
rnacentral:lncRNA from 1 species